rnacentral:rRNA from 1 species
GCACUCUUCGGAGUGAGCGGCGGACGGGUUAGUAACGCGUGGGAACGUGCCCUUCUCUAAGGAAUAGCCUCUGGAAACGGAGAGUAAUACCUUAUACGCCCUUUGGGGGAAAGAUUUAUCGGAGAAGGAUCGGCCCGCGUAAGAUUAAUAGUUGGUGGGGUAAUGGCCUACCAAGUCUACGAUCUUUAGCUGGUUUUAGAGGAUGAUCAGCAACACUGGGACUGAGACACGGCCCAGACUCCUACGGGAGGCAGCAGUGGGGAAUCUUGGACAAUGGGCGCAAGCCUGAUCCAGCCAUGCCGCGUGAGUGAUGAAGGCCUUAGGGUCGUAAAGCUCUUUCGCCAGAGAUGAUAAUGACAGUAUCUGGUAAAGAAACCCCGGCUAACUCCGUGCCAGCAGCCGCGGUAAUACGGAGGGGGUUAGCGUUGUUCGGAAUUACUGGGCGUAAAGCGUACGUAGGCGGGAUCAG